CCUACGGGUGACAGCAGUGAGGAAUAUUGGUCAAUGGUCGGGAGACUGAACCAGCCAAGCCGCGUGAGGGAUGAAGGUACAGAGUAUCGUAAACCUCUUUUGUCAGGGAACAAAGGCGGGGACGUGUCCCCGGAUGAGUGUACCUGAAGAAAAAGCAUCGGCUAACUCCGUGCCAGCAGCCGCGGUAAUACGGAGGAUGCGAGCGUUAUCCGGAUUUAUUGGGUUUAAAGGGUGCGCAGGCGGUUUUUUAAGUCAGCGGUAAAAGCCCGGGGCUCAACCCCGGCCCGCCGUUGAAACUGGCAGUCUCGAGUUGGAGAGAAGUAUGCGGAAUGCGCGGUGUAGCGGUGAAAUGCAUAGAUAUCGCGCAGAACUCCGAUUGCGAAGGCAGCAUGCCGGCUCCACACUGACGCUGAGGCACGAAAGCGUGGGUAUCGAACAGGAUUAGAUACCCUUGUAGUC
rnacentral:rRNA from 1 species